rnacentral:lncRNA from 1 species
GGCCAGGCACGUUGCUAGGCGACGGGCCAUGCGGCCCAACGCGCUCCUCUGGCUGGCCGGCCCGGCGCAGCCUCCCUAGUGCUAGCUGCCGGCAAUGCAGCCUCGCAGAAAGCAUUUAUCACGAGCAGGCACAGUAAUGGCCACUCAGUGGAGGGGAAAUUGAGCUGACCCGAAGGCCAAAGCUGUUAGGGAGACUGGUGGGAAGGACGGAGCAAUGGCUGCAGCAUCUCUUCAGAAAAGGAAGAGUGAAGUGGAAGAGACCCGUUCUCCGGCUCCACAGCUUUCAAACAACAAUAUUUAACCAACAAAAGAAGAG